rnacentral:rRNA from 1 species
GUAACGCCUGCCCUGUGGAACCCUAAACGGCCGCGGCACUAAAACCGUGCAAAGGUAGCACAAUCACUUGUCCCUUAAAUGAGGACCCGUAUGAAAGGCAACAUGAGAGAAGACCUGUCUCCUAAGAUCCGCCAAUGAAAUUGAACUCCCAGUACAAAAGCUGGUAUAAACAAGCAAGACAAAAAGACCCUGUGGAGCUUUAACAAAUUAUCUACAUGAAUUAGACAAUAGUUUCAGUUGGGACAACUCUAGAGAAAAUAAACCUCUUAAAUUACUAAGACCAACAAGUCUAAAACUACACUACGACCCAGUCAAACUGACUAACGAAACAAGCUACCCCAGGGAUAACAGCGCCACCUUCUAAAAGAGUCCAUAUCAACAAGAAGACCUACGACCUCGAUGUUGGAUCAGGGUACCCUGACGGUGCAACCGCUGUCGAUGGUUCGUUUGUUCAACGACUAACACCCU